GGGGUGAAGUCGUAACAAGGUAGCCGUAGGAGAACCUGCGGCUGGAUCACCUCCUUUCUAAGGAAUAAAUU
rnacentral:rRNA from 1 species